rnacentral:rRNA from 1 species
AGUAAUGCUUAGGAAUCUGCCUAUUAGUGGGGGACAACAUCUCGAAAGGGAUGCUAAUACCGCAUACGUCCUACGGGAGAAAGCAGGGGAUCUUCGGACCUUGCGCUAAUAGAUGAGCCUAAGUCGGAUUAGCUAGUUGGUGGGGUAAAGGCCUACCAAGGCGACGAUCUGUAGCGGGUCUGAGAGGAUGAUCCGCCACACUGGGACUGAGACACGGCCCAGACUCCUACGGGAGGCAGCAGUGGGGAAUAUUGGACAAUGGGGGGAACCCUGAUCCAGCCAUGCCGCGUGUGUGAAGAAGGCCUUAUGGUUGUAAAGCACUUUAAGCGAGGAGGAGGCUACUUUAGUUAAUACCUAGAGAUAGUGGACGUUACUCGCAGAAUAAGCACCGGCUAACUCUGUGCCAGCAGCCGCGGUAAUACAGAGGGUGCGAGCGUUAAUCGGAUUUACUGGGCGUAAAGCGUGCGUAGGCGGCUUAUUAAGUCGGAUGUGAAAUCCCCGAGCUUAACUUGGGAAUUGCAUUCGAUACUGGUGAGCUAGAGUAUGGGAGAGGAUGGUAGAAUUCCAGGUGUAGCGGUGAAAUGCGUAGAGAUCUGGAGGAAUACCGAUGGCGAAGGCAGCCAUCUGGCCUAAUACUGACGCUGAGGUACGAAAGCAUGGGGAGCAAACAGGAUU